ACUUCCCUCUCCAAAGGCAAUGCCUGCAAGGAAAAAGACAAAAUAGUGGUGAAUCUUUAUCUAACAGCUCACAAGUUUGUGAUAUGGUGGCUGUCCAAACUUCAACAAAUCGUCAAAAGGAGUUCCAAAGUGGGGCAGCAGCUAGGAUAAAAGGGACAUAGUAAUCAAUAUAGAAACUGAAAGUUACUUGAAAUAGGAAUUAAAAUCAGUAUAGAAUAACCUAAAAUCUUCACAUAAAAGUGGCAGCAAAACCCAUGACUCCACAAAACUGUUCCUGUGAACAGUGCCGUGAACAGUACCAAAGCCUUAAUGAAUUGAGAUUUCUGAUACCAUAUUAAGAGUUUAAGAACUAGAAGAAUAAGAAAGAAAGAAACAAAGAAAGA
rnacentral:misc_RNA from 1 species